GUGCAUUAACGAUAGGAGCGGCAUCCUUUUUUUGACUUUUCAACAAAAAAAGAUAGAGUGUAUAGCGUGUUAAAAU
rnacentral:sRNA from 1 species